GAUGAACGCUGGCGGCGUGCCUAAUACGUGCAAGUCGAGCGAACAGAUAAGGAGCUUGCUCCUUUGAAGUUAGCGGCGGACGGGUGAGUAACACGUGGGUAACCUACCUAUAAGACUGGGAUAACUUCGGGAAACCGGAGCUAAUACCGGAUAACAUGUAGAACCGCAUGGUUCUAAAGUGAAAGAUGGUUUUGCUAUCACUUAUAGAUGGACCCGCGCCGUAUUAGCUAGUUGGUAAGGUAACGGCUUACCAAGGCGACGAUACGUAGCCGACCUGAGAGGGUGAUCGGCCACACUGGAACUGAGACACGGUCCAGACUCCUACGGGAGGCAGCAGUAGGGAAUCUUCCGCAAUGGGCGAAAGCCUGACGGAGCAACGCCGCGUGAGUGAUGAAGGGUUUCGGCUCGUAAAACUCUGUUAUUAGGGAAGAACAAAUGUGUAAGUAACUGUGCACAUCUUGACGGUACCUAAUCAGAAAGCCACGGCUAACUACGUGCCAGCAGCCGCGGUAAUACGUAGGUGGCAAGCGUUAUCCGGAAUUAUUGGGCGUAAAGCGCGCGUAGGCGGUUUCUUAAGUCUGAUGUGAAAGCCCACGGCUCAACCGUGGAGGGUCAUUGGAAACUGGGAAACUUGAGUGCAGAAGAGGAAAGUGGAAUUCCAUGUGUAGCGGUGAAAUGCGCAGAGAUAUGGAGGAACACCAGUGGCGAAGGCGACUUUCUGGUCUGUAACUGACGCUGAUGUGCGAAAGCGUGGGGAUCAAACAGGAUUAGAUACCCUGGUAGUCCACGCCGUAAACGAUGAGUGCUAAGUGUUAGGGGGUUUCCGCCCCUUAGUGCUGCAGCUAACGCAUUAAGCACUCCGCCUGGGGAGUACGACCGCAAGGUUGAAACUCAAAGGAAUUGACGGGGACCCGCACAAGCGGUGGAGCAUGUGGUUUAAUUCGAAGCAACGCGAAGAACCUUACCAAAUCUUGACAUCCUUUGAAAACUCUAGAGAUAGAGCCUUCCCCUUCGGGGGACAAAGUGACAGGUGGUGCAUGGUUGUCGUCAGCUCGUGUCGUGAGAUGUUGGGUUAAGUCCCGCAACGAGCGCAACCCUUAAGCUUAGUUGCCAUCAUUAAGUUGGGCACUCUAGGUUGACUGCCGGUGACAAACCGGAGGAAGGUGGGGAUGACGUCAAAUCAUCAUGCCCCUUAUGAUUUGGGCUACACACGUGCUACAAUGGACAAUACAAAGGGCAGCUAAACCGCGAGGUCAUGCAAAUCCCAUAAAGUUGUUCUCAGUUCGGAUUGUAGUCUGCAACUCGACUACAUGAAGCUGGAAUCGCUAGUAAUCGUAGAUCAGCAUGCUACGGUGAAUACGUUCCCGGGUCU
rnacentral:rRNA from 1 species